rnacentral:rRNA from 1 species
UACAGAGGUCCCGAGCGUUGUUCGGAUUCACUGGGCGUAAAGGGUGCGUAGGUGGCGAGGUAAGUCGGAUGUGAAAGCUCGGAGCUCAACUCCGAAAUGGCAUUGGAAACUACCUUGCUCGAGGGUUGGAGGGGGGACUGGAAUGCUUGGUGUAGCAGUGAAAUGCGUAGAUAUCAGGAGGAACACCGGUGGCGAAGGCGGGUCUCUGGGCCGUAACUGACGCUGAGGAGCGAAAGCGUGGGGAGCGAACAGG